CAUCACGUACUACAAUACAGUGUAUUUUGUUUUAUUGCUAAAAAAUGUUAACACACAGAUACACACAAUGGGAUCAUAUAAUGUUGAAAAAUAGAGAUGGGGAGAGGAACAAGGGGGUCUCGCAUCCCAAGUACUAACCAGGCCCGACUCUGCUUAGCUUUCAAGGUCAGUCGAGAUCCCGUGCGUUCAGGGUGGUGUGGCCGUAAAGGCCGGCAGUGGCGGCUGCUCGACUCCUGGCGUCACCGCCACCCCUGGGCCGCGGGGCUCAGAUCCGGGGCCCCAGAACCGCUCCCCCGCGGCCGGGCUGCUCUCGCCAUCAAGGUCCCAGCACCGCCGGCCGCCGCGCUGCGCCUUCCGCCGGCCUCCCAGAGCCACCCCCGUCGCCUGCGGCCAGAGAACGCGCCGUGGCACCGCCCUGCUGCAGCGCGGGAGAGCCAGAGACCUCAGUCCCCUGCCCAGGCUCCAGGCACACCAGGUGGCCUCCCUUUUCGCAGACGCUCCAGGCCUUCCCCGGCUUGGGAGCUCCCAAGCUUCCAACACAUCUGGCCGGCUCAGGACGGGGUGUGCUCCGAGGCGUCAGGGCCCAGGGCCAACUGUCCUGGGAUCCCCUCCGGUCCUUCGUCUUGCCGCAGAAAAAUUGUUUUGGAUCCCUCGCCGCCCCUCCUGCAAGGCCCCCUCUUGCCCCACACACCCAGAGCCGUCAGGGCUGUCCAGGGGCAAACAGCCGGCCCAGCCCUGAGGGCCCUUUUUCUCACAACGCCCACACCAUUGUCGCUUGUCCCAACGAGGACUCGCCCCGUUGGCCAAGGCCCUGCUUUGCCCCGCGCUGGCACUAGAGCCCCCGCAGCCUGAUCCCGGGGGAGAGGGGCUGAUGGGCCACCCAGACACACCCCACCACCACGAGCAAACCCACCCCGACACGCACACAGAUACACACGGGAGCACGCGCGCGGUCACACACACACGGACACACACGGAGACACACACGGGCACACACACACGGACACACAAAGACACAGACACAGACAAAGAUAGCUUGAAGUAAGGGAGGAGACCACCCCUCAUAUUGUCUUAUGCCCAAUUUCUGCGUACUGAGACUAACACAGCAACUGUGACACCCAUGCGCUGGCGAUAGAGUAGGCAGCCUGAUCCCGGGACAAAGUUACUGACGGACAUCCAGACACACCCCACCACAAUCACGAGCAAACCCAUUCCCAAACAGACACACAUGGGCGCACCGCUUUUAGUAAAAACUAAAAGGCAGAAAUGAAAUCCAUAGGCAGACAGCCCGGUGUCACACCCUGGGCCUGGUAGUUAAAGAUAUACCCCUGACCUACUCGGUUAUGUUGUCUAUAGAUUACAGACAUUGUAUCGAAAAGCACUGUGAAAAUCCCUGUCCUGUUUUGUUCUGAUCUAAUUACCGCUGCAUGCGGCCCCCAGUCAGUACCCUCUGCUUCCUCAAUGGAUCACGACCCUCUCACGCAGACCCCCUUAGAGUUGUAAGCCCUUAAGAGGGACAGGAAUUACUCAGUCGGGGAGCUCGGUUUUUGGAGACAUGAGUCUGCGG
rnacentral:lncRNA from 1 species